GGGCAAAUAGCGUAGGGGUUAUCGCGUUCGCUUUGCAUCAAAGUCUUCGAAAAUUAAUUUCUGACGCUGCGAAAGGUCUCCGGUUCAAUUCCGGAUUUGUCCA